rnacentral:rRNA from 1 species
UACGUAGGGGGCAAGCGUUGUCCGGAUUUAUUGGGCGUAAAGAGCUCGUAGGCGGUUCGUCGCGUCGGCUGUGAAAACCUGAGGCUCAACCUCAGGCCUGCAGUCGAUACGGGCGGACUUGAGUACUGCAGGGGAGACUGGAAUUCCUGGUGUAGCGGUGGAAUGCGCAGAUAUCAGGAGGAACACCGGUGGCGAAGGCGGGUCUCUGGGCAGUAACUGACGCUGAGGAGCGAAAGCGUGGGGAGCGAACAGG